UCAUGGCUCAGAUUGAACGCUGGCGGCAGGCCUAACACAUGCAAGUCGAACGGAAACAUGUCUAGCUUGCUAGAUGAUGUCGAGUGGCGGACGGGUGAGUAAUGCUUGGGAACUUGCCUUUGCGAGGGGGAUAACAGUUGGAAACGACUGCUAAUACCGCAUAAUGUCUACGGACCAAACAGGGCUUCGGCUCUGGCGCAAAGAGAGGCCCAAGUGAGAUUAGCUAGUUGGUGAGGUAAAGGCUCACCAAGGCAACGAUCUCUAGCUGUUCUGAGAGGAAGAUCAGCCACACUGGGACUGAGACACGGCCCAGACUCCUACGG
rnacentral:rRNA from 1 species